UAAUAGAUAGACCCAUCCGAUUCCUAUAUAGUAUAACACGCCCUUGAUUUCUCUCAAGUCUCAACCAUGGUUCCGUCCCCACACAACAAAAACUACCUUGCUAGUUGCUGGAUGAAAUUAUUUUUUUAUGCAUAGUGACUCUAGAUAUUUUUCUCUCCCUUCCAAACCUAGUUUCCCACAUUAAAAUAUUCAGUAAUCAAUGGAGUAUUUUGUACUUUCUCCUCAAUUUUUUAUUCUUCCCAACUUCCAUGGCGUUGGAUUCUUCUUCUUCUUCACCAUGUUUUGUCAUAUGAUGUCUUCUCAUCUUCCUUCUAGGAUAAUUGGGUAAUUCUUUUUUAGACUUGUUGUUCCUUCAUCGAAGAUGGGUAAAGAAUAAAGAUUGAGACUUUGGCAGUAAUUAUCAAAAUGGGUUGUUAAAGUUAUGCUCUUCAUUUUGGCCUUGAGUUUGUUUGGCAUCCAUGAUCAUUAUCAGGUCUUUGAUGCUUAAAUACGAAAGUUCUUGCCCCAUAAGUUGUCUGCAAUUAUUAAACUGGAUUCUCAAAGAUAUGAACACAACUUUCUGCAUGUACAUGGGAAGUAUUUGCAUGAUAAAACUCAAAGGUUACUGCAAGUUGAUGAAGUAUCUUUCUUACCCUCUUGGAGCUGGUAUCUUUUGCAGCUUUAAUAUGUGGCUUUGUUACUGUUGUUUUUUUUAAUAUGGUGGAUUUUGAUUUGCAUUUGACUUAUUGGUUUUUUGGGGACAGAUAGAAAUUUUCAUUAUUUCUCAUAGUCGUAUUUGGAAACUUGAAUUUUAAUUCGACACUCAGAACUGAAACCCAGGCAUUUAGAUCCAAAUCAUGUGUUUAUGGAAAACCAGAAUUUUAAUUCUUGAUCCAAAUUACCCUUCUUGAACUUUUUUUUUAAAUUAUAUGCACUUAUUAUUCAUGUGAUGAUGUACCAAGGGUCAAUCAGAAACUACCUCUUUAAUUCACGAGGAUAAGGUUGUAUAUAUCCAAUUCCUCAAACCCCCAUAGGUGGGAGCCAUUAAUGACAUUGGGGUUAUAGAAAUAUGGAAUGAAAUGGUCUCUCAAAGUGGAAAAUCUUAUACUUGAUUCAAAAACUAGGUAUUAAUUCAAACUUUCUAUUUCAACUUGCAUUUAUAUUACAAAUUUGACAAAACAAAGAUGCAGAAUUUCAAAAUAAGAAAUGGAUCAUAAGCUGUUGUUGCAUUUGUAAAUGUGAAGAAUAAGGAGAUUAGGAAAAUGAGAUAGGUUUCUUUAAGAUCAUUGCUAUAAGAGUUAUCUAGAAAAUUAAGGGAAUUGAUGCUGGGAUAUGUGAGAAUUUGAUUUAUUUAGGGAUUAGAUCAUGAUGCCUCUUGCUGUUAUUCAACUGGAAUAUUCAUUUAUUCAAAUAUUAAAUGAAAUUUGUGCAAAUAGUUGCAUGCCGAUCUCUCUUGGAAAUUUCUUAAUUUUGUUUUUCACGAACUUGGAAGAUCAUAGUUUUAUUUACCUGUGGCUUUCUUGUAAAUACUGCAGCUGUUGUUUUAAGUUUGUUGCUUCUCGUUGCCAAAACUGUAAACAAGGAAAAGAAAGCGAUCAUGGUUCUCGAGAAUAUUUCAUAUUGAUAUUGGACCUGCAAGUUAUAUUUUUCUGUUUUUCAUCAUCUCCUCUCCUUUAUGAAAACUUGGCUUAAUUUAUCUUCUUAGGUGUAUAGUUCAUCAUCAAUCCUGAACUAGCAUACUUUUCCAUCAAGAAUGGAACAUAUAUUAACCUGAGAGCAUUAAAAUCUGCUUAGGAAGUCAGAAGAGACUGGUUUGCGAUGGAAAAGGUUACUAAAAGAAGCCUUUAAAACACAAAAGGAAAAUAUCAAAGGAAAAAGGGUGACUUUUAAGGUAUCACAUAAUGGGGGAGAGAAUGGAAGAGACUGCGAGGGAAUUAGCUCAAAGGCAAGGACUAAAUGAUAAAACUGAGGAGGUAAGUAUGUGGAACUCUUAAAAUUUUGAUAUUUUGUCAAAGUGUUGCUAUUGCUUAACGUCAGUCAUCUCUCCCUUAAACAGAUAGUAAUACUUUAUUCACGCAAUUUCUAUAUCUACUUUUCUAGUGUACUAGUUGUGUACAUGCCCAAAUCGGCAGACUAAAUGCUUAAAUAUCCCGGUUUAUCCAUGAUUCAUAGCAAGGAGGGCUACAUAAUACAAACUUCACACAUGUAGAGUCUAGUGCCUAGAGUAAUUGUGGUAUACUAUUAAAGCCCCUCAACUGGAACUUUGAUUGUAUUGUGGUAAAAUUAAUUAGUAUAUUGUCUUGAUGGGGCCAAAGAUCUAGCGUUCUUUGGUUUCGGACUAUAUUGGAGUAAAGUAAAUAACUCAAUAAAUCAUGUGCACUUCUUAUUUAUGUGAAGUUGUACAUGACGUGUGCUACUAAAGGUUAAUCGGAAACAACCUUUUUGUUAGUUUUAUCAUUACCAACGGUCAAUCGGAAACAACCCUAGAUGAGAGCCACUUAAUGGCAUUGUGAUGAUGGAAUGUUGUUAUUAUCCCUUUGUUUUCUAAUUGUCAGAAUUUAGAGUGUCUAUAUGGCAUUGUACACCAUAUUAGGCAAGUGCAAUUCAUUGUAUCAAUGGGACAUGGUGUUGACAAGGUGGAAACAUUUGGUGGUAGACUAGUGGUUGAGUAGUAAAAUGGGUACGCUUUUUGAUUUUUCCCCAUGAUAGUGGUCUCUCUCUUUACUCUGUAGUUAUCAAGAGGAAUAUAGAACUAUAGCCCGUAUUGUGGUGUCUUUUUGUCUCUUUAGAUUAUGAAUGUAGAUCUUGAUGGGUUGUUUCUUUCAUUUAUUGGAUACUCUUACACUUGCAUCUUGGACUUGGACGCUUCUCGGGCUUGACUAGUUAUUUUUGUUAGUGCCUUCUUGAAAAAAUGUAUUUUGUUACUUUCUGUACCUUGUAAUAUAUAACUUUUGUUACUUGGAACUUGUACAACGAUGUUAUGAAAACUGGAGUUUUUGUCAAGAACAAAUUUUCGUUUGGUUUUGGGUUUUGAUAUAUUUAUCAAUAUAUUCGCCAAUAUCGAAAUUGUCAUCGCUCUAUUUUUUGGUUGCUGUUUUGUCGUUUCUUUCCUAGUAAUGUCAUUGCUUGUGUUUGUUUCUGAGAAAUCUAGGUGGCGUGUGAUCCUGUUGAAGAAGAACUAUCGCUCUUGGUGGUGGUAUUACAUCCUUCUAUUAUAACAUGAACAAAAUGCAACACAUAGACAAAGACCAAAAAUUAGUAAGAAGAACAGAACAGAACCCAAAAUGGAUUGGUAGCAGAAUAACAGAGGCUAAAUUAUGGUGCCAAAUUGAGUCUAUAAUAGGAAAUUACUACAUUUUAUUGGCCAAUUGCCCUUGCUCAGAGGAAUUUUGUUGCCUAUGUGGUUGAGAAAGACCUUUCUCUCGGAGUGUUACCUGAGUUAAUUGAUGUAUUAACCUAUGGAUUUUAGGGAUUUGUCCGUAUUUGAAUAGUUAAGCUUGAACUUAACAAGGCUCUGCUAUAAGGUAAGCUAUCGUUAGGAGAGACGAGAAAAUUCUAAUCUGUCACUUGUCCAUCAAUUCACUGCACUUGUAUACCAAGUAAAAUCAGUAUGAAAUUUAUCUGACGACUUUUAUCCUAAAAGGUAGCCGUAAUCUUAAUGUUAAAGAUCUCACUGGACACGGAGGCAUUGUUAUCACUCCAUCUGCUUGAUUCUGUUUUUCCUUUAUAGAAGCCUUGUUUGAGAUAUUCUUGUCAAGGAACCAAACGGAUGGUUGAGGCCCCAAGAUAUGUUAUAUACUUUAACAGGCUCUCUCAAACGAGAGUGUGGGUGCAGCAGAGUUCCUCUUAUGCUGAAUAUUCCACCUUAAAUGAGGGGUGGUUGAGAUUCGAACCCUUAACCUCUUGUGUACAAGUCCAGAAAUAAUGUUGGGUUGUCACCUAAUUCUAAUCUUGAGAUUAAGGUGAAUUUAUCAAUUUGAGUUUUCUUACUUUACGAAUAUGAAUCUCUGCUGUCUAAAUGAAUUUGGGAACCUUGUUUACUUCCUUUUGGCAAUGGUCUCGAUUUUGUGGGGUAAGAUACUAACAUCCCCAGUCUUGCAAGGAACUGUCUAAUUGUGCUGGUGGUGCUGAGGCAAUUACUGAAGUAAUGUUAUGUUGAAGAGUAACUUGGAAAAGAAGGAAUAAGAAGUAAUUUUGUAUGAGUGGAUAAUGGACGAUGAUUUAGAGAUUCCUCAAAAUUGGACUGUCGUUCUUUCUGUCGAAGAGACAAACUCAUGAAUAUAUAUGAUAUGUUUCGUUAAGCUUGAGCUUAUGCUUAUACUUGUCAAAGAUUUGUUAUUGUUUGCUUUUCCACAGAGGACCUUGCUUCCUACUGACCCCUUGCAUUAUAAAUACUUCAUAUUACUUCUGUGUUGAAUCCAUGUUAUCUGUCUUGUUAUCCUAUAAACGAACUAUGUUUUAAUGGAAAGUUUGUGAUUGUUGCAGGACCGUCAGGAGUGUCUGAGUUGCAGGUGUUUUCUGCAAAUGAAACACAAGAUGAUAAGCUAUACUUGCUCGGAGGAGCUUUUUUAUGUUUAUUCAUCAGUUCCUUUAAGUUUGCUCCCCCACUUUAUGGGUUUGAGGGUUUUUCGCUCACGAUGAAGCAAACUCUUAAGGAUGGAGGGAGUAUACUACAGCUACUUCAUAAAAGAAUUGAAGCUCGUGUUUUGUAAGCUAUGAUGUAUGCUAUCAAAGUUCAAUUGGAAACAACCACUUUAUGAUUAUGAUCACAACGAUUGGUUGCGUACCUUGAGUUCGGAAGCAGCAGACGACAGUUGAGGGUUGUGGUCGUUCUCCUCCUUCAUUUUGUUGUAUCUUUUGAUCACCGAUUUCAUGCUGCAAGUAACAUUGCCAUUCAUAACAUCAUAUUACUGUCCAUAUAAACAUCAUUGUACUAAAACAUCCACUUUUUGUAUUGUUUAAUUUUAAUUUGUAUUAGUAAGAGCCCAAUUACGCUAUCAGAGCGACUACAAAAGCAAUAGAGUUGCACCAUUGUCUAAAGCUUCGAAUUAUGAAGACUAAUUUUAUUACCCUUUUCUCCGGUAUAUGUGUCUUAUAUACUUUUGUACACUUGUUAAUGUAUUAAUUCAAUUUUUAAUAUUUUUUUAUCACUUUUUAGGCCGUAUUCAUCUAUUCACACAAAUUAAUUACCUAUAUUUGCAUUAAAGUAGAAGGAUUUCCAAAAUAAAUCUUCACGUUAUUUUUAUUCAUUUGGAGAAAGUGCAUGACAAAAACAGUGGUGGGUUAUGACAAAUAUAUAAGUACUUAAUUACAUAAGUGAAAGGGGAGGUAUAAAUCUUACUCAAGGAUCAUAAAAUAAGGUUUAAGUGAAUGGUUUGUGUUGUAUUUUAGUGUAAAAAUCAAAUAUUCGCGUACGUGAUGAAUGACAAUAAUAAAGAAAUAAUCAAAACUAAGAUAUUAAGGUGGUUCACCAAUCUUGGAUUACAUCUACCAUUUAGCCUAGGAUUAAUAUUAAUGUAUUUAAAGGAGAAAUACAAAAUUUGAAGGAAUUACAAUGGAGAAUAAUGUAAGGAGAAGAAAAGCUAAUUAGGGAGUGUACUUAAGACAAAGAAGGUAACUCACUAUAAUGAGGUUUUGGUGCCGUUAGCUAUGACCUAAGGCUAGUGCAUUUAUAGGGGAAAUACAUGUGAAGAAUGGGGCAGUAACAAGUGCGAACAACAGGUUGCCAGCAGGUCACGAAAUGCAGUCACUGUUUUCGCUCGACCCACCUAUCAGGCGAGCAGCGGGUCGAGCAAUGUUCAAUAGCAUGGCAGUGUUGCUGUUUAUUGCCUUUCCUUUU